rnacentral:rRNA from 1 species
AUUGAACGCUGGCGGCGUGCCUAACACAUGCAAGUCGAGCGGCAGCGCGGGAGCAAUCCUGGCGGCGAGCGGCGGACGGGUGAGUAACGCUUGGGAAUCUGCCUGUUAGUGGGGGACAACCCGGGGAAACGUCGGGCUGAUACCGCAUACGCACUACGGUGGAAAGCCGGGGACCGCAAGGCCUGGCGCUAACAGAUGAGCCCAAGUCGGAUUAGCUAGUUGGUAGGGUAACGGCCACCAAGGCGACGAUCCGUAACUGGUCUGAGAGGACGACCAGUCACACCGGAACUGAGACACGGUCCGGACUCCUACGGGAGGCAGCAGUGGGGAUAUUGGACAAUGGGGAAACCCUGAUCCAGCGACGCCGCGUGGGUGAAGAAGGCCUGCGGGUUGUAAAGCCCC